rnacentral:rRNA from 1 species
GAUGAACGCUGGCGGCGUGCUUAACACGUGCAAGUCGAACGGGAAUUACUUUAUUGAAACUUCGGUCGAUUUAAUUUAAUUCUAGUGGCGGACGGGUGAGUAACGCGUGGGUAACCUGCCUUAUACAGGGGGAUAACAGUCAGAAAUGGCUGCUAAUACCGCAUAAGCGCACAGAGCUGCAUGGCUCAGUGUGAAAAACUCCGGUGGUAUAAGAUGGACCCGCGUUGGAUUAGCUGGUUGGUGGGGUAACGGCCCACCAAGGCGACGAUCCAUAGCCGGCCUGAGAGGGUGAACGGCCACAUUGGGACUGAGACACGGCCCAGACUCCUACGGGAGGCAGCAGUGGGGAAUAUUGCACAAUGGGGGAAACCCUGAUGCAGCGACGCCGCGUGAAGGAAGAAGUAUCUCGGUAUGUAAACUUCUAUCAGCAGGGAAGAUAGUGACG